rnacentral:rRNA from 1 species
CCUACGGUGGGAGCAGUGGGGAAUAUUGGACAAUGGGCGAAAGCCUGAUCCAGCCAUGCCGCGUGUGUGAAGAAGGCCUUCGGGUUGUAAAGCACUUUCAGUGGGGAAGAAAGCCUUGGGGCUAAUACCCUCGAGGAAGGACAUCACCCACAGAAGAAGCACCGGCUAACUCCGUGCCAGCAGCCGCGGUAAUACGGAGGGUGCGAGCGUUAAUCGGAAUUACUGGGCGUAAAGCGCGCGUAGGCGGUCUGAUAAGCCGGUUGUGAAAGCCCCGGGCUCAACCUGGGAACGGCAUCCGGAACUGUCAGGCUAGAGUGCAGGAGAGGAAGGUAGAAUUCCCGGUGUAGCGGUGAAAUGCGUAGAGAUCGGGAGGAAUACCAGUGGCGAAGGCGGCCUUCUGGACUGACACUGACGCUGAGGUGCGAAAGCGUGGGUAGCAAACAGGAUUAGAUACCCUGGUAGUC